UACAGAGGCCUCGAGCGUUGUUCGGAAUUACUGGGCGUAAAGGGAAUGUAGGUGGUGACGUAAGUCAGAUGUGAAAGCCCUGGGCUUAACCCGGGAAGUGCAUUUGAUACUGCGUCGCUGGAGUGCGAGAGAGGAAAGUGGAAUUCCCAGUGUAGGGGUGAAAUCCGUAGAUAUUGGGAGGAAUACCGAUGGCGAAGGCAGCUUUCUGGCUCGUAACUGACACUGAGAUUCGAAAGCGUGGGUAGCAAACAGG
rnacentral:rRNA from 1 species